ensembl:lncRNA
GUUCUAACCACUAGGUCAAACACUAGGGUUCUAACCACUAGGGCUUACACUAGGUUUCUAACCGCUAGAGCUAACACUAGGGUUCUAACCACUAGGGCUAACACUAACCACUAGGGCUAACACUAGGGUUCUAACCGCUAGAGCUAACACUAGGGUUCUAACAACUAGGGCUAACACUAACCACUAGGGCUAACACUAGGGUUCUAACCACUAGGACAAACACUAACCACUAGGGCUAACACUAGGGUUCUAACCAAUAGGGCAAACACUAACCACUAGGGGUUACACUAGGGUUCUAACCACUAGGUCAAACACUAGGGUUCUAACCACUAGGGCUUACACUAACCACUAGGGCUUACACUAGGUUUCUAACCGCUAGAGCUAACACUAGGGUUCUAACCACUAGGGCUAACACUAACCACUAGGGCUAACACUAGGGUUCUAACCACUAGGGCUUACACUAACCACUAGGGCUAACACUAGGUUUCUAACCACUAGGGCUAAAACUAACCACUAGGGCAAACACUAGGGUUCUAACCACUAGGGCUAAUACUAACCACUAGGGGUUACACUAGGGUUCUAACCACUAGGGGUUACACUAGGGUUCUAACCAUGAGGUCAAACACUAGGGUUCUAACCACUAGGGUUCUAACCGCUAGAGCUAACACUAGGGUUCUAACCACUAGAGCUACAACAAACCACUAGGGCUAACACUAGGGUUCUAACCACUAGGGCUAACACUAAGGUUCUAACCGCUAGAGCUAACACUAGCGUUUUAACCACUAGGGCUAACACCAGGAUUCUAAACACUAGGGCUAACACUAGGGUUCUAACCACUAGGUUUAACACUAACCACUAGGGCUAACACUAGGGUUCUAACCUCUAGGGCUAACACUAACCACUAGGGCUAACAUUAGGGUUCUAACAACUAGGGCUAACACUAAGGUUCUAACCGUUAGAGCUAACACCAGGAUUUUAAACACUAGGGCUAACACUAACCACUAGGGCUAACAGAAGGGUUCUGAAAACUAGGGCUAACACUAGGGUUCUAACCACUAGGGCUAACACUAACCACUAGGGCUAACACUAGGGUUCUAACCACUAGGGCUGACACUAAGGUUCUAACCGCUAGAGCUAACACUAGGGUUCUAACCACUAGGGCUAACACUAACCACUAGGGCUAACACUAGGGUUCUAACCGCUAGAGCUAACACUAGAGUUCCAACCACUAGGGCUAACACUAACCACUAGGGCUAACACUAGGGUUCUAACCGCUAGAGCAAACACUAGGGUUCUAACACCUAGGGCUACAACAAACCACUAGGGCUAACACUAGGGUUCUAACCACUAGGGCUAACACAAAGGUUCUAACCGCUAGAGCUAACACUAGCGUUUUAACCACUAGGGCUAACACCAGGAUUCUAAACACUAGGGCUAACACUAGGGUUCUAACCACUAGGUUUAACACUAACCACUAGGGCUAACACUAGGGUUCUAACCUCUACGGCUAACACUAACCACUAGGGCUUACAUUAGGGUUCUAAACACUAGGGCUAACACUAAGGUUCUAACCGCUAGAGCUAACAUAAGGAUUCUCAACACUAGGGCUAACACUAACCACUAGGGCUAACAGUAGGAUUCUAAACACUAGGAUUAACACUAGGGUUCUAAUUACUAUGGCUAACACUAACCACUAGGGCUAACACUAGGGUUCUAACCACUAGGGCUAACACUAAGGUUCUAACCGCUAGAGCAAACACCAGGAUUCUAAACACUAGGGCUAACACUAACCACUAGGGCUAACAGUAGGGUUCUAAACACUAGGGCUAACACUAGGGUUCUAACCACUAAGGCUAACACUAACCACUAGGGCUAACACUAGGGUUCUAACCACUAAGGCUAACACUAGGGUUCUAACCACUAAGGCUAACACUAACCUCUAGGGCUAACACUAGGGUUCUAACCACUAGGGAUAACACUAACCACUAGUGCUAACACUAGGGUUCUAACCACUAGGGCUAACACUAAGGUUCUAACCGCUAGAGCUAACAGCAGGAUUCUAAACACUAGGGCUAACACUAACCACUAGGGCUAACACUAGGGUUCUAACCACUAGGGCUUACACUAACCACUAGGGCUAAUUCUAGGGAACUAACCACUAGGCCUAACACUAAGGUUCUAACCACUAGGGCUUACACUAACCACUAGGGCUAACACUAGGUUUCUAACCACUAGGUGUAACCCUAAGGUUUUAACCACUAGGGCUUACACUAACCACUAGGGCUAACACUAGGGUUCUAACCACUAGGUCUAACACUAAGGUUCUAACCACUCGGUCUAACCCUAAGGUUCUAACCACUAGGGCUAACACUAACCACUAGGGCUAACACUAGGGUUCUAACCACUAGGGCUAACACUAAGGUUGUAACCGCUAGAGCUAACACCAGGGUUCUAACCACUAGGGCUAACACUAACCACUAGGGCUAACAGUAGGGUUCUAACCACUAGGGCUAACACUAGGGUUCUAACCACUAGGGCUAACACUAAUGUUCUAACCGCUAGAGCUAACACUAGGGUUCUAACCACCAGGGAUAACACUAACCACUUGGGCUAAGACUAGGGUUCUAACCACUAGGGCUAACACUAAGGUUCUAACCGCUAGAGCUAACACCAGGAUUCUAAACACUAGGGCUAACACUAACCACUAGGGCUAACACUAGGGUUCUAACCACUAGUGCUUACACUAACCACUAGGGCUAAUACUAGGGCACUAACCACUAGGCCUAACACUAAGGUUCUAACUGCUAGAGCUAACACUAGGGUUCAAACCACUAGGGCUAACACUAACCACUAGGGCUAACACUAAGGUUCUAACCGCUAAAGUUAACACCAGGGUUCUAACCACUAGGGCUAACACUAACCACUAGGGCUAACAGUAGGGUUCUAACCGCUAAGGCUAACACUAAUCACUUGGGCUAAGACUAGGGUUCUAACCACUAGGGCUAACACUAACCUCUAGGGCUAACACUAGGGUUUCAACAACAAAACAACAACAAAUAACCUCACACUCA